UGUGCGUUAUACACCCAACUCGUGACAAUAUAUAUGUUGAUUCAUUAAUUAUAAUUCUUUUUUUGGAGUUGAUUCUCAGUCACACAGGAGGUCAGGCAUACUUUAUCAGCCCUAGGGUGGGAGUAAAGAAUAAAACUUAUCUUGCCAGAAUUAUGUCAAAUAAUAAAGUGAAGAAUGACUUGUUUGAGGAGGGGCAGGAGAGUUCUGCAAAAACUUUAGUUUAUGGGGUUAGUGAUUCUGGCAUUGCUAGUGAUUGGCAGAGUGGAGAUUAACCUGGUCUGCAAGUCAAGUGGUUUACAGUUGACCAGAUUUUCGCAUACAUUAAGAACAGUGAGAAAGAGGGUAAGACAAUGAAGCAGAUGUUAAAGACAGAUAAACUAGAAAUCUCUGAAAUCAAAAUUUGACCAGUUGAAUGAGAUGGCAAAUGAUGUGAUAGAAGAUUAUGGCCAAAUUAAGUAGGUGGUUAGAGAAUGUGAAAUGGGGUAUCGGGAACUUGAAAACAAAUUGUGAUAUGAGGAUGAGGGACUAGGGAAAAUUAGCGUAUUAAUUUUUGGAUUGGAAAAGAGAGAGAAAGAGAGAGAGGAAAGAAGAAAUUUUGAAACUCUGGUUGUGGUGAUCAGGUGUCUGAGCAGUACCAGUCAGCAGUGAUAUUGGCUAUGUAGCCAGGUUAGAAGGAAGAAGAGGGAAGCAUUAAAGUUUUGUUUUGUAUCUUUCUUUACAUGUGCAAUUUGCUGGUAGGGUGCUGCCAACAUUGUGAACACUAAUGUGCAGCAAGAGCUGAGUCUGGUAACAUCAGGAAUACAAACAGAGUAGCCUGUGCUGAGUCUAGUAACUUCAGAAGUACAGACAGAGUUUUCAGGGGAUUGUAGUGGAAGUAUCGUAGAAUACCAGAACAAGGCAAGGAAUGGGGUCAGAACUUUGGAUGAUAUCAUUAAACAGAUAUAUGAACUUUCAUAUAAUCUGAAAACGAAAGAAAAUAAGAUUACUGACCAAGAUGCUGUGAUACAUGGUCUCCAAGAAAGGGUGAAGACAUCACAGGCUGAAGUGGAAAUACUAAAGGAAAAGUGUGAAAAAUAUGUAGCUGAUUCCAAAAGUAAGGUCUCCAAAGCGCUGGGUAAUUUUUUGUGCGGCUGUUGGCAACCCUGUUGCAUUCGUUGCUUCCCCCACUCCCCCCAAUACCGCCAAGCAUGCGCGCACGUAGAUAGGACACUCACUCUUGGCACGGUUGCCGUUAGAAAUGGAGCUCCCGAUUACUAAAACCGCAAAGUGUGAGAUUCGCGCAGUUAUUCGGUUUUUGAACGCAAAAGGGACUAAACCAAUGAAAUUCAUCGUCAAUUGGUGGAAGUGUAUGGCGAGUCGUGCAUGGACAUAAAGAACGUCCGCAAGUGGUGUAGGGAGUUUGAAUCUGGUCGUACUGCAAUACACGA